CCGGGGGCGGGGAGAGGGGCGGGGCUUUCCGCCGAAAGGGGGCGGGGCGCGCGGAGGAGGCGGGGCGAGCGCAGGGGAGGCUGGCGAGCAGAGAGUGCCCUUGUGUCGCCAGCCGGCGAGCGGCUGGGAGCGAGCAGCCGCCCCGCGCCGCCAGCGGGACGGGACGGGACAGCACGGCACGGGACAGCACGGCGCGGGGCGGGACAGGCCGGGCCGCAGGGACAGCCGGACCGACCCGCCGGUAGGGGCGAGGGGAGCCAGCGGGGGCAGCCGGCACCGCUCGGUGGAGGGAAGCAGCCCGGCGGCGGCAGAGCCGGCGGGGAGAGCUGCUCCCCCCACUUCCCUCCCCAAUCCACCCCCGCGACCCCGGCCCUCCUCCUCCUCCUCCUCCUCACCCCACUGGAUACAGCGAGGGAGACACUGCGGCGGCGGAGGCGGCGGCGGCGGCUCCUGCGGGGGGAAGGAAGCGCCCGGAGAGCGGAGCGGCGGGAGGCUGCGGAUCUGCGUGCCUGGCGCCCACCCAGCCCGAGGGGAGCCCCCAGGAUGCGGCUCAAGCCCGGCGCGCUCCUGCGCUUCUACAGCCUCUGCGGGAUCCUCAUGCAAGAUGGAGUGGCAGCAGAAGGUGGAUCGACUGCCUUAGGGGAGCAGUGAAAGUAAGAAGAGGAGCCACAGGGAAGAUGGAAGAAUGAGAAAAACUAUGGUGCUUGCAGGAGAGGAAAAGAGAAGACAUGAGGAAGAGGAUGUGGCAGCAACAAUGGACAUGAGCAAGCUGGAAAAGAAUCUGCAGCAGCGUCUGAUAAGGAGAUGAGGGUCUGUGAAAUACAGACAAGCAGGAGGACGGAGCAGUGGCCGUGGGCUUUGUUAAAGAAGGUGGAAGGUGCCAAUCAAACUGUGUUCUUAGAGCUACUUGUCCUAUUUGGGCGAUGUAUCUUUAUACUAUUAGAAUCAACAACAUAAAAAUGGUUCAAACAAGAACAUAUACACAGGAAUCAUACAAUGAUGUAGUGUUUGUUUUUUGUAUUAGUGCAGCAACAUAACCAGGUAACCCUAGCACUGCUGGAAGUUUAAUCUGUGAGCUUGGAGUUCAGGACACAGCUGGAGUGCUAUUGACCUGUGUACGUCUUGCCACUUGGGAACAAAAUAAUCUUACUGUCUCUGCGAAAACUAUCAUUUUUAAGACAUCUGAAGUUGUCUCCUGUGCUAUCUAGAACAAUUUACAUCUGCCAACAUUUGCAGGCUCGAUGAUGUCAUAGAAUUUGUUCUACAUACUCAGUAACUUUUUGAAAUAUUUUGUAGCAACAGCAAAUGCUAAAAUAGUUUAAUGUGCAUGUAUAAACAUGAUUUUUUAUUUAACCAAAGAUUACAUUAUAACAUGCUGCUCUUCCGUUAUGUCAGAAUGUGUUUCUUAGAUGCAAUGUACUACAAAAAAUACAAAAAAUAAAAGCAAACUACAUGUACA
rnacentral:lncRNA from 1 species